CUGGAGGUAUCAGAAGUGCGAAUGCUGACAUAAGUAACGAUAAAGCGGGUGAAAAGCCCGCUCGCCGGAAGACCAAGGGUUCCUGUCCAACGUUAAUCGGGGCAGGGUGAGUCGACCCCUAAGGCGAGGCCGAAAGGCGUAGUCGAUGGGAAACAGGUUAAUAUUCCUGUACUUGGUGUUACUGCGAAGGGGGGACGGAGAAGGCUAUGUUGGCCGGGCGACGGUUGUCCCGGUUUAAGCGUGUAGGCUGGUUUUCCAGGCAAAUCCGGAAAAUCAAGGCUGAGGCGUGAUGACGAGGCACUACGGUGCUGAAGCAACAAAUGCCCUGCUUCCAGGAAAAGCCUCUAAGCAUCAGGUAACAUCAAAUCGUACCCCAAACCGACACAGGUGGUCAGGUAGAGAAUACCAAGGCGCUUGAGAGAACUCGGGUGAAGGAACUAGGCAAAAUGGUGCCGUAACUUCGGGAGAAGGCACGCUGAUAUGUAGGUGAAGCGACUUGCUCGUGGAGCUGAAAUCAGUCGAAGAUACCAGCUGGCUGCAACUGUUUAUUAAAAACACAGCACUGUGCAAACACGAAAGUGGACGUAUACGGUGUGACGCCUGCCCGGUGCCGGAAGGUUAAUUGAUGGGGUCAGCGCA
rnacentral:rRNA from 1 species